rnacentral:misc_RNA from 1 species
AUAUUAGAAACAAACAAUUCAUAGGUAAUCUUCAUCUGCCAAUUUUUAGGCAACUGUCAUUUAGUAGUUGAUCAUUAUUGCUGGUCUCAUAACCUUCUUGUCAACAGUCUAAAAUUAUUGUAGUAGAUGCAUUGAACCACUUUUGUGAUUAGCUUAUGCGGUCAAGAACCAACAAAAUGUUUGUUAUGUUUCAAUUUUCUUUGGACAAAGCCCCUCCUAAAGGGGUUAGCUAUGAGAUGCAAAUCUCUUUUGUAGUCACAGAUAUUGAACCUAUUUUUGGGCCCUCACCUACAAAGCUUGAGGUUGUAGGUUUAAGAUCUUUACUAUAAGAUCUAGGCUGUUUUAUUGCUUUGAAAAGGUACUGCUUCACCCUGUGCUGACUUUAUUCUUAUUCUAAUUG